AGAACGAACGCUGGCGGCAUGCCUAAUACAUGCAAGUCGAACGAACUCUUCGGAGUUAGUGGCGCACGGGUGCGUAACGCGUGGGAAUCUGCCCCUUGGUUCGGAAUAACAGUUGGAAACGACUGCUAAUACCGGAUGAUGACGAAAGUCCAAAGAUUUAUCGCCAAGGGAUGAGCCCGCGUAGGAUUAGCUAGUUGGUGAGGUAAGCUCACCAAGGCAACGAUCCUUAGCUGGUCUGAGAGGAUGAUCAGCCACACGUGGGACUGAGACACGGCCAGACUCCGUAGGAGCAGCAGGUAGGAAUAGUGGACAAGUGGGACAAGCUGACUCCAGCAAGUCGCCG
rnacentral:rRNA from 1 species